GUCUUUGUAUGUGUUAGCUUCAUACUGUAAAGCGUCCAUUCCCUAUUUGAAAAUGGCUUCAGUUCAAUCCGAUGUUGACUGGCAAUCGACAAAGAACACCGUCUUGGAAAGAAACAGUCAUAUGUUCAACAAUUCGGACAUGAAUGAUAUCAGUUUUACUUGCGAAGGUUCACACCAGACAUUUUACGCCCACAAAUACGUUCUUGCCACAAGUAGUGCUGUAUUUCAUGCGAUGUUUUAUGGUGAUUUAGCAGAAAAGAAUUCAGCUGUUCAUCUCAGUGAUACAGAUGAGAAAGGUCUGGAGGAAUUCUUAAGGUUCCUCUACACAGAUGAAUGUAAUUUGACAACAGACAAUGUUAUAUCGGUCAUGUAUCUUUCUAAGAAAUACCUCGUGCUCUCGCUUACAGAAUAUGUGAAAGCUCAGCUGGUAAGAGAUAUGAAACCGGGCAAUGUACUCGACAUUUUAGAACAGGCGAUUCAUUUUGAAGAGAAAGAUUUAGAAAUGAAAUGCUGGCAGGUUAUUCAGUGGCGUGCAAGCGAGGUUGCUAGCUCGGCAAACUUUAUCAACAUCAAACAAGCGACUCUUGCCAGUUUACUGAAGCGGAACCGCUUGAAUAUACCAGAAGUUGAAUUAUUUCAAGCGGUGUUAAAAUGGAUUGAUCACCAAUGUUCGCAGAAAAGCUUAGAGUUGACAAUGGAGAACAGAAGGUCUGUUAUCGGCGAGGCUGUGUACGACUUAAGGUUUAUUGCGAUGAAUCAAGAAGAAUUCGCAAAGCAUGUCUCCAAAUCUGGUUUGCUGAUUGCUGAAGAACUAGUUCCAAUUUAUGAAAAAGUCAACAAGUUGGAGUCGCCGCUAUUGAAAUGGAAACUGCCUCAGAGGGAAAAAACGUUUAAAGCUAGCAAUAAAAUAAUUCGAAUAUCUAGAUUUUCCGCCUUCUCCAAGAAUGAAUCUUAUUCGCCUUCCUCUUCCUGGCAAUACAGUGGUCACCACGCGUCGUAUGGACAGGGUCAGCCACAGGUUGAUGUAAAUAAUAGAGAUUACCUGUCUUUUGCUGUUGAUCAAUGCGCACUAUUUCUCGGUGUGCGGUUGUUUGGUACAAAGGUACGCUCUGGACAUAGCAAUACGUAUCAAGUGGAUUUGACGGUCAAUGGCCAAAGUGCAAACUCUGAUACAAACAACUACACAAGCGCCACCAAUUAUCAGUCCGAAACAAAGGAGCAUAGCAUUCCUGGUUUUGAUGUGAUGUUACAAUCCCCCAUUUUAUUGAAAGAGAACGAAGUAGUGAGAAUGGACGCCGGAAUAGUUGGUCCUCUUUCACAUUUCGGAUGGCGUGGAAAGCCUAUAGUUAAAGGGCGAAGGAUCACUGUAAAAUUUCUUGAUUCCAGUGAUUCCUGUAGCUGCAAUGCACGUACUUGUGUGUCCCAAGGACAGUUCCAUCAGAUAAUACUCUCUGUUUAAGCGUGAUUGGACAUGUCAAGACUUCGGACAAGACUUAAAUUGUUGAAUAUGCUCAUGAAUAAUUUUAAUCUUGUAAAUAUAAUCUCGUAAAUAUAACCUUGUAAAAUCAAGUUUUUUUAUGUUGUUACCUUGCAAACAGUAACAAGUUAAUUGAUUAUAACAGUAACAAGUUAAUUGAUUAUGAUUAAACACUUAAUUAAAAAAAUAUCAAGUAAACCAUGUUGAAUAUUCAGGGUACAGGUCAUGUGCUGCAGUAUUUAUAUAGCCAGACUGUAGUUAUUAACAUACAAUCUAAUGUGUAAUGAUUUAGGUAAUUUAAGCAUAACUAUGCAGCAUAAGAAUAUAGUUUACGUUCAGUCGUAUUUUGUAGUCGAGAUUUUGUAAAAAAGGCUUACUUUGCCUUUUUGUAGGCGAGACUUCAGUAUUAAACAAUUGAUACAGUUUCUUAUUCUUAAUGUAAUUUUUAAAAUAACUUUUGUAACCUUUCUUCAAUUUUGUGAA
rnacentral:lncRNA from 1 species